UGGGGAAAAGAUUCAGAGUUUUCUUCUUUAGGCUAUUUUUUUUAAAUUGCAAACCAAAUUUCCUUUUCUUGCUUUCUGAAAGGUAGAUAGAAACCUCUGAUACCAAAAGGAAAAUCAGCCUGACCCAUGAUGGCAUGUUUCAUCUUUCUGUGAGGGAGCAGAGAGGCAGGGGAGUUCCCAGCCCUGACCAGGAGGUGCGCUUCUGACUCAGGAAUGUGAAGGACAGCAACUGUUGGUACCCCCGGGUGCUCUCUGGACUGAUGUAAGGCAGUGCCAAGGGGGCAGCACAGGGGGAAGGCCGUUUAUUCUUCUUAAACACCUGAAGUACCCA
rnacentral:lncRNA from 1 species